ACAGUGCAUGAAGAGAGGGAAACCUCAGCAACCUAGAAAGCAAACAAAGGUGCUUCAAAUGCGGUUUUUUAUAGACAAAAAAAUAUGCUAUU
rnacentral:ncRNA from 10 species